rnacentral:rRNA from 1 species
GUGUCAGCCGCCGCGGUAAGACGAACCGUACGAACGUUAUUCGGAAUCACUGGGCUUAAAGGGUGCGUAGGCGGUCCGAUAAGUUGGGUGUGAAAUACCUCGGCUCAACCGAGGAAUUGCGCUCAAUACUGUCGGACUUGAGGGAGACAGAGGUGAGCGGAACUUAGGGUGGAGCGGUGAAAUGCGUUGAUAUCCUAAGGAACACCGGUAGCGAAAGCGGCUCACUGGGUCUUUUCUGACGCUGAUGCACGAAAGCUAGGGGAGCGAACGGGAUUAGAAACCCGGGUAGUCC